CGAGUCUUCCAAAAGAGCCAUAAGGAAGGCGUCCAAAAGCUACUCCCUUCAAGAUUUAUGGCUGCAAACACUGCGAAAGAUUUGAGAAGGUGAAGACGGAGCCACCCGAGCUGAAGCCGAUAAAGCCGGUUGCACCCUGGCAUAUGAUCGGUGUUGACCUCAUCGGACCCCUGCAGAAGUCAAGCAAAGGUGGGAACCGUUACCUCCUGACAGCGACCGACUUCUUCACAAAAUGGGUGGAGGCAAGACCCAUUAAGAAGAAGCAGGCACUGCUUACCUCUGAGGCAAUGAUGGACAUCUUCCUGAC